rnacentral:misc_RNA from 1 species
GGCGCGUGCCGGAGGUGGAAUUGGGGCAUAAAGCAAAAUCAUCGUCUUUAUUGGCGCCGCCCAUUCUUCGCCGCCGCACCACCGAGAAGCCAUGGGUCGCAAGAGAGAUAAACCCUACCCUUCCCCCCACCUCCCUACCUCCGUCUCUAAGAGACGACGCCCUCCGCCGCCCACGGAGGACGAUGAUAUAGACAAGCCCUUGUCGAAGCCUGCGCCGCCGCUUGCCCUAGUCAUCGUUGACCUACCUUCACACUGUUCGGUCCUUGACUUGAAGUCCCGAUUUGAGAUCUACGGAUCCAUCUCCCGCAUCCGCAUCGACCGUGAUUGUGUUGGCUACAUCACUUAUCGCACCAAAGACUCCGCCGAUGCUGCCAUGGCCGCCUCCCUUGAUCCCUCCUUCGCCUUCACCAUUGAUUCCAAAAAGGUUCAGGUGCUAUGGGCGAAUGAUCCUCAAGUCCAAUGGCGGCAAGGGAUUAACGUUGGUGUUAACAAGAAUAAGGAAUUGUCUUCAAAGCUCUUGCGGGCGGAAGUGCCGCUGAGCAGACAUGGAAGAAGCAAUAAGCUUGCUUCAACCAUUUUCAACUCCAGUAGAAGCGACAGUUCCUCACGGUCGGAUGUGCCUUUCAGGGGCAGGGAAGUUGUUGCCUACGAUGAUCUUCUCUAAGUUUAUAGAUUGUUUCAUUUGAUAGUUUGGCUGCCCUUUUGUUUUCUCCUUUUCUUUUGGUGUGGUAUAGUGUAGUAUAGAUUGAGUUCUUAACUGUAUAACUGUUUUAUGCUAGUUGCCUCCCAUUCCCCUUGAUUCUUAUUGAUUCAAGCUUCUUUAUGAUCCCAAAUCCAAGUUUGUGUUAAUGUAUAUCUAUACCAUUAAUUGAAGGAAACUCAAGCUUCUCA